GUGAGCAUUGCUGCCUUCCCUCCUGUUCUCCUUUACCCACAGGUUUCCUCCCCCAACUUAAGAGUAUGCAUUAGGAAACAGAGGAGGACAGUUUUCAUGGGAGAAAUGGGAAGAAGGAAGACUAGAAGAAUGUGUGCACAUACGGGGAUAGGAGAAAGAAUUUUGGAGCCCAGAGUAGCUUCUAUUGAUUGUAGCUCUUUGACCUGGAUGUUUAAAAAGGAAUGAAGAGCAAUUACAGUACCAGAGUCACCUGAUAACCCACAGAGAUGUAAAGUUUCCGUGAGGGUACAGUAGUAUGGUUAACACAACCUCGAGGCAUCAUCUGAGCUUAUAUCAUUCAUGAGACAAGAAGAAUAUACCCGCGUGGCAUCAGAAGUGGUCCAUAUUGAUGAUUUUCUUUUUAUCUUUGGUUUUCAGUUAUUUUCUUUUCUUUUCUUUUCUUUUCUUUUCUUUUCUUUUCUUUUCUUUUCUUUCCUUUUCUUUUCUUUUCUUUUCUAAGUAGGCUCCGCACCCAAUAUGGAGCCCAAUGAAGGGCUUGAACCCACAACCCAGAGAUCAAGACCUGAGCUGAGAUCACCAAUUGGAUGCUUAAUGGACUGAGCCACCCAGAUAUUCAUAUAUGUCUUCUAUGUCCAGACAGCGUGCUGGGCACAGGCAGAGACAAAUGUCAAGGACACCGACACAGUCCUAAGAGAUCAAGAAGUAGAAAUGCAUCAUAUUUACAAUGAUCAAAUAUAAAUGAGAAGUCUGUGUGCCUAUCUGACAGUGAAUGGCAUUAUCCAUUGGUCCAGAGAGGAACAGCAGGACCAGGCACUCCUCUUCAGAUCCCCGGGUCUCACCAAUCGGAACCAGGUCUUGUAUUUGCAGUUCAAAUGUUACAUUAUGUUAAAAAGUGACAAAACUGGGGCACCUGGGUGGCUCAGUCGGUUAAGCGUCCGACUCUUGGUUUCAGCUGGGAUCAUGAUCUUGAGGUUUGUGACUUCCAGCCCUUCAUUGCACUCUGUGCCAACUGUGCAGAUCCUGAACAGUUCUCUCUCUCUGCCCCUCGCUUGCUUGUGUGCUCUCUCAAAAUAAAUAAGCAAACUUUAAAAAAGUGUCAAAAUUAUUAUGUUAGUGAUUGAUAUGAAAAAGUUGCUUUUAGGUAGCAUCCCUUACUUUAUUUAGGAAAGUACAUUUUGGGAGCUGGAUCUUAUGACAGAUUGGAUUAUUGUUCUCUGCUCAUAACUGCUUCCUGUUGUGGAAUUAUACAGAAGCACAUUUUGCCAUGUGACAACAGUACCUCCCACUAGAGUAAAUGAAGAAUGUUUAUCAAAGUAAAUAAAUGUGGUGACUACCAGGUGAAUACAUAUUUUAUUCAUCAUUAUAUUUGGUAAAACAACAACAACAACAAAAGACAAAAAAAUUAUCCCACUUAAGACAGGUAAUAUGUACACAAAUUUCAGAGAUAUUGUAUUUUGAAAUGAGAGAUUUCUUUAUUGUUACAGAAGUUAAAAAAAAUUAAAUAUUUUCAAAUAAUACACAAUCAAAUUGGCAUAUAGAUUCUUGCCAGAUUUGUUUCUUCCCAGAGGGUCCAUGUAUAACUACUUAGUGAUUACUAUCUCCAACAUAAAUUGCAGACUUUGAGAUACUUAAGAGAUUAAUCAUCUCAACAAAGUUCCAAUAUUUUUAAAGCAAGAACUUUAAAAAAAAUUAAA